rnacentral:rRNA from 1 species
AUGGCGACUAAAGUUGUUGUUUCCAUUUUUAUAGAAUUUCAAGAUUACAAUGGAUCUACGAAAAGAUCGUGUAGUUUACUGAAACCGUUGAAUUCGGAAUAUGGGAAAGUCGCCCCGGGUUGGGGGACUACUCCUUUUAUGGGGAUCGCAAUGGCUUUAUUCGCUAUAUUCCUAUCUAUUAUUUUAGAAAUUUACAAUUCUUCCGUUUACUGGACGGAAUUUUAA